CAGUCUCUGGAGCUAGUUGUU
rnacentral:misc_RNA from 1 species